GGGGGUUAUAUUUAAUAAUCUGAGGGUAGGAGGGCUGGAGGCGGGGGACGGGGGUUCGAGGAAGGCAGAGGACAUGGAGCAGCAUGGGCACUGCGGUCUGGGGUCUAGGCACACACUUGGAAUUUUGGCCAAAUGAAAGGCUUAGAAAUGAAUCUCGUUGACUCAGUCGGCCUGGCUUGGCUCAGUCAUCCUUGAACCAACAUC
rnacentral:lncRNA from 1 species